rnacentral:rRNA from 1 species
UACGUAGGGGGCGAGCGUUGUCCGGAUUUAUUGGGCGUAAAGAGCCCGUAGGCGGUUGGGUAAGUCGGGUGUGAAAACUCAGGGCUCAACUCUGAGACGCCACUCGAUACUGCUCUGACUCGAGUCCGGUAGGGGAGCGUGGAAUUCCCGGUGUAGCGGUGAAAUGCGCAGAUAUCGGGAGGAACACCAGUGGCGAAGGCGGCGCUCUGGGCCGGAACUGACGCUGAGGAGCGAAAGCGUGGGUAGCAAACAGG